rnacentral:rRNA from 1 species
GAGUUUGAUCCUGGCUCAGAGUGAACGCUGGCGGCGUGCCUAAUACAUGCAAGUCGAACGAUGAAGCUUCUAGCUUGCUAGAGUGCUGAUUAGUGGCGCACGGGUGAGUAACGCAUAGGUCAUGUGCCUCUUAGUUUGGGAUAGCCAUUGGAAACGAUGAUUAAUACCAGAUACUCCCUACGGGGGAAAGAUUUAUCGCUAAGAGAUCAGCCUAUGUCCUAUCAGCUUGUUGGUAAGGUAAUGGCUUACCAAGGCUAUGACGGGUAUCCGGCCUGAGAGGGUGAACGGACACACUGGAACUGAGACACGGUCCAGACUCCUACGGGAGGCAGCAGUAGGGAAUAUUGCUCAAUGGGGGAAACCCUGAAGCAGCAACGCCGCGUGGAGGAUGAAAGUUUUAGGAUUGUAAACUCCUUUUGUUAGAGAAGAUAAUGACGGUAUCUAACGAAUAAGCACCGGCUAACUCCGUGCCAGCAGCCGCGGUAAUACGGAGGGUGCAAGCGUUACUCGGAAUCACUGGGCGUAAAGAGCGCGUAGGCGGGAUAGUCAGUCAGGUGUGAAAUCCUAUGGCUUAACCAUAGAACUGCAUUUGAAACUACUAUUCUAGAGUGUGGGAGAGGUAGGUGGAAUUCUUGGUGUAGGGGUAAAAUCCGUAGAGAUCAAGAGGAAUACUCAUUGCGAAGGCGACCUGCUGGAACAUUACUGACGCUGAUUGCGCGAAAGCGUGGGGAGCAAACAGGAUUAGAUACCCUGGUAGUCCACGCCCUAAACGAUGGAUGCUAGUUGUUGGAGGGCUUAGUCUCUCCAGUAAUGCAGCUAACGCAUUAAGCAUCCCGCCUGGGGAGUACGGUCGCAAGAUUAAAACUCAAAGGAAUAGACGGGGACCCGCACAAGCGGUGGAGCAUGUGGUUUAAUUCGAAGAUACACGAAGAACCUUACCUAGGCUUGACAUUGAGAGAAUCCGCUAGAAAUAGUGGAGUGUCUGGCUUGCCAGACCUUGAAAACAGGUGCUGCACGGCUGUCGUCAGCUCGUGUCGUGAGAUGUUGGGUUAAGUCCCGCAACGAGCGCAACCCCCUUUCUUAGUUGCUAACAGGUUAUGCUGAGAACUCUAAGGAUACUGCCUCCGUAAGGAGGAGGAAGGUGGGGACGACGUCAAGUCAUCAUGGCCCUUACGCCUAGGGCUACACACGUGCUACAAUGGGGUGUACAAAGAGAAGCAAUACUGCGAAGUGGAGCCAAUCUUCAAAACACCUCUCAGUUCGGAUUGUAGGCUGCAACUCGCCUGCAUGAAGCUGGAAUCGCUAGUAAUCGCAAAUCAGCCAUGUUGCGGUGAAUACGUUCCCGGGUCUUGUACUCACCGCCCGUCACACCAUGGGAGUUGUGUUUGCCUUAAGUCAGGAUGCUAAAUUGGCUACUGCCCACGGCACACACAGCGACUGGGGUGAAGUCGUAACAAGGUAACCGUAGGUGAACCUGCGGUUGGAUCACC